GGAUUCCCACACGGGAUUUCCAGUGUUUGGUUUUACCAUGCAAGUCGAACGGAAAGGCCCAGCUUGCUGGGUACUCGAGUGGCGAACGGGUGAGUAACACGUGGGUGAUCUGCCCUGCACUCUGGGAUAAGCCUGGGAAACUGGGUCUAAUACCGGAUAUGACCAACUGUCGCAUGGUGGUUGGUGGAAAGCUUUUGCGGUGUGGGAUGGGCCCGCGGCCUAUCAGCUUGUUGGUGGGGUAAUGGCCUACCAAGGCGACGACGGGUAGCCGACCUGAGAGGGUGAUCGGCCACACUGGGACUGAGACACGGCCCAGACUCCUACGGGAGGCAGCAGUGGGGAAUAUUGCACAAUGGGCGCAAGCCUGAUGCAGCGACGCCGCGUGAGGGAUGACGGCCUUCGGGUUGUAAACCUCUUUCACCAGGGACGAAGCGUAAGUGACGGUACCUGGAGAAGAAGCACCGGCCAACUACGUGCCAGCAGCCGCGGUAAUACGUAGGGUGCGAGCGUUGUCCGGAAUUACUGGGCGUAAAGAGCUCGUAGGCGGUUUGUCGCGUCGUCUGUGAAAUUCUGCAACUCAAUUGCAGGCGUGCAGGCGAUACGGGCAGACUUGAGUACUACAGGGGAGACUGGAAUUCCUGGUGUAGCGGUGAAAUGCGCAGAUAUCAGGAGGAACACCGGUGGCGAAGGCGGGUCUCUGGGUAGUAACUGACGCUGAGGAGCGAAAGCGUGGGUAGCGAACAGGAUUAGAUACCCUGGUAGUCCACGCCGUAAACGGUGGGUACUAGGUGUGGGUUCCUUUUUCACGGGAUCCGUGCCGUAGCUAACGCAUUAAGUACCCCGCCUGGGGAGUACGGCCGCAAGGCUAAAACUCAAAGGAAAUUGGAGGGAA
rnacentral:rRNA from 1 species